GUCUGUCUUCAUAAGUGUGACAGAUUUGAUUAAGCUCUUUGAGAGAGACUGAUGUAAAAAUUCAGACAAAAUCAGACCUUUCUGCCAAUUUACAGUAUCACAUUGACAAUUCAUUCCAGGCUCAUCAAAGUUCAGUAAUGCAUGUGGAAAGAAUAAGUUUCCUGCACAGGAACAAGAAGUUGAUGAACAGGAAUGUAUAUGCUGCUUCCACACAUAAGCCUCAGCACAAAAUUAAAGAUAAAAGAGCAUUGAGAUGGCUAGAUGAUCACUUGGCCCUGGAAAUUUGACGUAUGAAGAGAACACUAGUGUGAAGCCAUACAAACAGUGGGCAAAGCUGACAGAGAGGCUGGGGUGGCAGAACUGAAGUUGGCGGUACUGCUGCCAGGUGCACGGCACACGUGCUGGAAAAGGAAAGCCCGGUAUGCUGGAAAGGAGCAGCUGAGGUGGUAACUGUAGUGCUUUGGACAAGCAGUCAUCUCUCGUUGUGGAGACUGCCGUGGCUUGGCACUGGAAGGAAGGAAGGUCUUGUUGGCACCAGGUGGGGACACCGAGACACAGGGCUGCAGCAUGAUUAGCCCCAUGUUUUUCAGCAAAGCAUGAGGACAGCAUGUGGCUGCACCAGUAGUGAGGACCUUCUGGUCUCUUCUUUGCUACCAUCUUGCAACCCUUCCCAAAGCGUGCUGCAGGCCCAGCUCCAAUGCUUCAUCAAGAUCCAGGAACUCCCAGAGCUGCCCACGGUCAUGUCACACAGGUUAACACAGGCUUUCAUGGCCUUGCUGCAAUGAGCAGGACUGAAGUGGAAAGUGAUGAGCCUGCUGAGGUCGUCUGGAUGCAGUGAUGUGAAGAGGCAGUAGUUUUCCAGGCUGAUAUUCAGUCUGGAGCCGUAGCACUGAUGCUCCAAGACUGUCACUUCUUUGUGAAACUAUGACUGCUAAAAAGAAACAUUUAUUUUCUUCAUUUGCAAGGCUGUGAAAACACACUCACCUUCCUGCGGACGUGUGCGGAGCAGAGGUGUCAGCUCACCCCAUGCAGCCUGAUGUGGACUACGUCAGUGUGGUCACCCACCCCCUGGAUGAGGUAGUCCUGGCUCCUUCGGGUCAGGCCUCGCAGUACAAAGGCUGCAGAGCUGCAGAAAGGGAGAAGACAAGGAGGGCUGCGCCUAGCCUUUAUCUCUUGCAUGCUUUGGCCCCAUGAAGAACUCCAGCAUGUCUGCCUGGUGAACAACGGGUUGAAUGCCUGGUGAUGUCCAGUGAGUCAGGAACAACCCACAUUGAGGAGUAAGGAGACAUUAACAUACUGGUCAUCAGCUGAGCAGAAGAUACUGAUGGAGAUGCUUCUUUAUGCAAGCAAGACGGCAAGCUCCCUUCCAUUCUAUUGAGAAGAUAAUGCAUGAUAGCGAUGUGAAUGUGUUGCUGUCAUGAGCUAAGUGCUGACUUUUGUCCAUACCAAUGGUAACGAAGGGUUACAGAAAUGCUGAAACUCAAAAAUAUAAACACAAAUAUCAGACCUCCAGCCCUCCCAUAGGGCAUUUCUAAUUGUCAAGUGAAGGGAUGGGAAUUGCUGUGAUAAAUGUCAUGUAUCUUAUGGGUUGUUACACAACAGUGGGGGGGGAAGAGGGAAGGUGCAGAAAGGAGAAAGCUGGAACUACUCAUACGUACUUGGUAAAAAUAACAUGCCGUUUGAUUAGAAGUGUGUUUUAAACAUAUUAUUUGAAUAUGUAAGGAGUUAUGUUGGUCCUGAAAGUACCUGAUGACUAUCAUGCUGCUACGAAGGCAUUGUACCCACCAAUGCUUGGCCUCUGUGACAUUACCAUUGGGUUGAAUGACAAGCAGGGCAAGACCAGGUGGGCAGGAUGGGACUAACCAUGCUCAGGGAGCUAUAACUCCACAGAAUGAUCAUGCAGUGUUCUUACAUAUGAUGGAUGUGGUAAAUGACAGCAGUUUUGUUAACACUGCGCUCUACUGCAUAUCUGGCACAAGAGUUAACAUGGGCUAGCACCAAAAUUUGCAGUGUCAUGGGUGGUGAGUAUGCACCCUUCAAAGCCUCCUGUACUGUGGGAACUUUCAAUGGUUUAACCUAAAACAAGUGUCAUGCUGAGAAAAACUCUGUGCAAGCACUUGGUUUCAGUUUAAACACCAUUUAUUUUGAAGUCACCUCUGGGGGUGGAAAGGUGCUUUUUGUUGUUUGGUUUUUUUGUUGUUGUUGUUGUUUUUAACCAAAAUGAGUGAAACCAAAUGAAAGGUGUCUGCCUACAAGCAAUGCACUGGAGUAAUUAUGGUCCCUGCACUGACACUCAAGCAAAUAUUUCUGAGGCAGUUUCUGAAUUUUGCAAACCAUCUGUCUGCCUUUACCUCUGCCAGCACCACAGAGAUGGGGCACCUCAGCCUAAGAGCAGUCAGGGCAGCUAUGGGUGCUGCUGCACCAAAUCUCCAUAGCCAGUCAUUGGGCCACUUGUGAGUGUAGAAACAGCAUUUUCUGUCCAUCUGUCCAUGUGGUCGGAGGUGAGUCCUAGACAUACUGUGACAUAACAGCAUGUUCUUCCUCUAGGGCAAGAGCUGCAGCUGAAUUCAUCAGUAGGAAUGGGAUGUGAGGGACUUCCCCAGGUGGACUGCACUGGGGAUUCACUUCCAAGUGGGAUACCACAUUGGGUGCUAACGAUGCCAUUGACACCUACUCCCGCUCUAACCUGAUCACCUCUGGUCGGGUCCAGCUGGCCCUUUGAAGAUAUCUCCUCACCCAGUGUUAACCCCAGCUUGUUUUUCUCCCUGCUUCUUGGUUCACCAGUGGUGGCACAAGCCAGAGCUCCUGGCUGGGUCUCUGCAGGGCACACUGGUUUGAGGAGGAACAGAAGAGAGCUCUGGGACAUCUGGUACUUUAGACUGAGGAAGAGCACUCAUUUGGAUGGAGGGUUUGGUGCUGUAAAGCAGGUGAACUGGCUAAGCUUCUUCUGGAAGGUGCUGGGCUGCCAGGAGCUCCCCAGAGCAGGGGCAAGAAAGAUGUCCCUCAGCGGGUACUGGGGUAUCAUCAUGCAAACAGCUGGCUAGGUGAGUUAGAGAAGGUAUCUCAUCUCUUACCUAUUUCUCACUGGAAGCAGAAAGUGCAGAAGCCAAGUCUGUAAUUUCCCAGAUGGAUAUGUCUUCUAUAGGACCUCUUUCUUCCAUGAAAAGGAGGAGAUGCCUCCAGAUAUCCUCUGACACAUACAACUACUUUGUACCAGACAAAGUAAUUGGCUGGAGUCAACCUGGGCCCUCAGUAAAACAAGUGUGGGUUCGGGAAGUCAAAAGAGUUUGAGAGCUCCUGCCUCUGUCCUAUGGCAUUCCUGUGGUGGAAAAUCCCACAGUGAGGGGAGCUGUGGGCAGGAAAGUGGAGCACAGCCAUCCUGCUGCUUUCUGAAGGCAUCUAUCAGGUUGUGCAGGCAUAGCCAGGUCUCUAGCAUCCCUGUCUCUGCUCUUAGGUGUCAAUUUCUAUCAGACACUGGAAAUCCUGAGUAUAUUUCCAAGAAGAUGGGCAGAGUCAUUUGAUUGACCAUUGCGCUGGUCACACAGAAGAGAAGAAUGACCAUUCUUGCUCACAGGCUUAAAACCCACCUGCAUUCAUAUCUCCUCUUCGCGCUGCAAACAGCAAAGCAGAGAUGGUAACAGCCACUAAAGGAGGAAGGGCCAUGUACAGAGAUGUUCACUUACCUCCAAAGGUCUUUACUCUCUUGGUCAAAGGCCCUGACUGCCUAUCUUCAGUUUGGGUAUCUUUAAAUUUAAUCUGUCCAUAUUCCUUUUGCAUAGCUCUUGGAUGAAAAGGUUUGGCUCUGUAAAACAAUAUUGCCAAGCUGCUACAUGAGGAAUGAGCCACACAUAGAAGGUAUGUAAGUACGUGCUUGUGAAAAAGCCAACAAACUCUUCCCUCGUAUGUGAUGAUGCCUUUUCCAUGUCUAGUGUUGUCUUAGCUUCAUUUUCAUUACUUCACACAUAAAAACAGAAGUUAAAGGAUGUGCAAAAUGUCACACAGUGAAGUAAAAUUAUUGGCUGAUCUAAGAACUUCCACCCCAACCAGAAGUCUUAUCUUCCAAGCUUUGAAUCUGUGUCAGAACCAAUUAUUUUAAUGUAGAUUUUUUAAAUAUAUAUGGUAGCAUCUUAAGGCUUUGUCAAUAUAUUUAAAGUUGUUCUACAAUAUAUACAGUAAUUGCUUUUCUAUGAGGACCGAGAUACAUGAAAGAUUCAAAAGAUAGAGGACUUUUCAUUGAUGGCAACUUUUAAAAAAAUAAAAGUUGGAUUAUUACAUGAAGGAGAUAAAAGGCCAUGAAAUAGAUAUUAAGGCCAUGAAGUAGAUAUUUUUACUCUAGCAUAAGAGAGGAUUUUUAGCUUCUAAAUAUGCAGAGACACUAUAUCAACUAUCACAAAUGUGUGCCGGUGAUGCAUCCAACAACACUUAAUUAUCAGUUCUACAGGAAAAUUAGGUGAGAAAAUUACUUGUCUUUUUGUAUUUAUUUUAGUUAUAAAAACCCAAAGAUGAUGACAAUUCUCUCACUACAGCAUGUUAGACAUAGAUGGCUUGCCUGUCUUAUUUUUCCCCCUUGGUGAUGCAGAUUGAUAAUUCCUGCAGUGGGCUCAGUUUAAUUUGUUACUUUUUACAAAUGCAUAUUGUGCAGUUUUAAAGACAGCUGUCUUCAAAAUGGGUAGACAUUAAGCAGUUUCAUUUUUUGUGGUGUCUUAGAUCAGAAAUGUUUGAGAUGGAAGAAACUGAUCUGGUCCACUGCCUCGACCUUCUUUGCAAUGUGAGAUUCAUACUUAUGGGUCGGUAUUUGUAUGUCCUUCUUGCUUUCCUCCUCUAGAAAUUAAUUAGGGCAUUAAACAAUAUCAAAACAUGAAAAUGUUUGCAGAUGGACAGAUAGGAGCUAAAAGAUACUGAAAGUUCUUGUGCUACCAAACACAGCACAGGGAACAACUGAAGUAGCCACAGCUGAUGAAAGCAAUGUUUUUCAAAUGCUGUCCUAUGCUCAAAUAAGGUAUCUGAGAGAGCAACAACAGCUACCAUGGUGUGUGUCUCAUUUCCCUCACCCUGGGGCAUCCCGGGCAUAGCAAUGCUGCAUGGAGAAGAAAAGAAAAAAAAAGAGAGAGAGAGAGAAGGAAGGCUGAGAAGUAAGAAGAAAAAUCAGUCUUUGAAUGUGAAGAUAAAAAAUAAGCCACCAGGAACUAAACUGGUUUUAAUUUUGUCUCUGAUACUGUAGGGUUCUGGCAUGCAUCUGUCAACAUGGCUGACGUAGCUACACAGGAAUAUGGUGGGAAAAGUCUUGGCUAGAAAAAUCUUACUGCACACAUAUGAUGAAAGAGAAGGGAAAGGCAAUGUUGGAAGAGAACGACUUGUUCCCAGCAGUCAGCAAAGUCUCCAGCCAUAUUACAGCGGUGGCAGCUGCCUCUUCCCCAGUGGUAAGGGGGAGUGCCCCUGAGAGCAUGGCAUUACAAGGAGAACAGAUCUCAUGUGAUGUCCUUUGGAGGGCAGAUUUGGUUGUCCCUCAUGUAAAAUACAAACAGCAAUGGAUAAGCAAGAGCAUGGCGUUCACAGGGAGGAAGCUGAAGUAGUUGGUAUAGCAAUUAGAAGGAACAUGUUAAAUUGCUCUUGAUUUCCAUCAGGUGCCAACCCAUUAAGAGAAUAUCUGGUGAAUUAAGACUGGAAAAGGUGAGAAAGAGGGAGAGGGGAAAAUCUGGCUGGGGAGGAAGCAGAAGGAAACCAAGCAUAGCCUGCCUCAGCGGUCUCCUUCCCAUCAGUCUUCCAGGCAGUUGGGCAGGCUUGCUCAUGUGCCAGGCUGCUAUUCCUCGUGGGGACACCUGGUAUCCCACCCAGCCGUAGGGUCAUUUCCAGCUAGACUCCUUCCCCUGGCUCAGGGACAUACUGGGCCACGUGCAACACACUGAGACUUUAGUAAGUGCUCUGUGUAGCACUGGUGCAGGUGGGCAAAGCAAUGGCAUGGGAACACCAGUGCACACAUCUGCUUCUGCUAUAGCAGUGAGCUGCUGCUUCCCGUGCCACAUCCCAGUAUGUGGAGAAGACUGUGGAAGGAAAGGGAUUGGUGCAUAGUGAGCAGCCAGGAAAGGCAGGUGUGAGAUACAGCAGGUAACUUCAGGUGCAGAUACGUUCAUUUUUUUUUUUUUUUUCUUGAUAAUUUGAUAAUAAACAUGCGAGCUGGAUUUGGUAUUGCCACUAGUGCUGGCACAUCCAGCCAAUUUCUGUAUUUUCUAGGAGUGUGCAUGCCAUUACAGCCAAGGAAAUCGUGCUCUCCUGGGACUCGGAUUGAGCAGUGUCUAAUAAAAGGCCUGAUGAAGAGAAACUUCUGCAAGAUUUAUUUUCCCCUGGGAAAUUAACCAUUGUAUACCACAGCACACAUGGCAUAUGGCUGCCUGUCCAUGGGAGCACUGCAUCCAACUUCUGAUUCAGCAAAAUACUGGAAGUGGUGUUGUGAUAAAUAGGGCUUAAACAGAGGUAUGAAGUUUGACAUGGCCUUAACAGGCCAUUUCGGCAUUGAUAAAUGUAAAACACAAAGAUUUAUAUUGUGACUCAGAGCUGGAUUUUUCUCAUACAAGCAAUGGAUUAAAAGUUAUCAGUUACCGAGUCUGAUUGCCAGACUAAUUCAAUUUAUUUUAUGUGUAUAUUAUGCUAUCUCUUCGCCUUCUGAAUGUUAUGUGAAAAUAAGAAAAGGUAGGCAUAGAAUAGAAUCACAGAAUGGGUUGGGGACCUUGAAGUCCACCUGGUUCCAACCCCAUUGCUAUGGACAGCGUUGCCUCCCACUUCAUCAUGCUUAGGGCCCCAUCCAGCCUGGCCUUGAACUCAUCCAGGGAUGGAACAUCCAUAGCUUCUCAGAGCAACCUGUUGCAGUACCUCACCACUCUUAGAGUAAACAAUUUCUCCCUAACAUCUAACCCAAAUCUCUCCUCUUUCAUUAUAAACCCAUUUCCCCUUGUCCUAUCGUUAUCGGACCAUGUAAAAAAUUGGUCCCGCUCCUGAUUAUAAGUUCCCGUCGAGUAAUGAAAGGCUGCAAUGAGGUCUCCCCAAAGCCUUCUCUUCUCCAGUUUGAAUAAGUCCAAUUCCCUCAGCCUGUCUUCACAGGAGAGGUGCUCCAGCUCUCUGAUCAUCUCAGUGGCCCUCCUCUGGACCUGUUCCAACAGCUCCAUGCCUUUCUGUGCGGAGGGCCCCAGGUCUGGAUGCAGUACUGCAGAUGGGACCUCACAAGGGCUGAGCAGAGAGAGACAAUCACCUCUCUCACCCUGCUGGCCACCCCUCUUUUGAUGAAGCCCAGGAUACUGUUGGCUUUCUGGGCUAAAAGCACACAUUGCUGGCACAUUCCCAGCUUUUCAUCACUGGGAACCCAAGGUCCUUCUCCCAAUCUGCAUUCAUAUCUGGGAUUGUCCUGAUCCAAGUGCAGCACCAUGUACUUGGCCUUGUAGUACAUCAUAAAAUAACAUAUAAUCCACAUAGUGCAUAGAGUAUUCUGUCUAUUUUAUUUAUUAUUGCUGUUAUUACUAUAUUCUGCUCUGGCCACUGGAGACAAUAGGCAUAUAUUUUGCAGUGGACAGUUAAGGGUUGUCAAAUAAUUGGAUGGACUUUUUUCAUGUCUAAUCAUUUACAGAUUUGUUUAUACUCUAAUGUUCAAGUGUUCCUGUCCUGAUAUAUCUUGUCUAGGAAAGAAAGCACUCACACCAGCCACCACCACGUAAGUGUAAGUUCUUUUCUCAAGUUAAUGAUAUGUUGUAGCAGAAAUCCUAGAGCAAGAUUUAAACUUCUACUAAACAAGUCCCCUUGGUAGUUUUACAUGAUUUGCAAAAAUCAUUUAAAACUGAACAAAACAAGCCUGAAGUGAUACAUCAUUUUUCUAAAUACUGUUGUUUCUAGAAUGCAGGUGUUCUGUUGGGUGUUGUUCUCAGACACCGUGUUUCUUUUGGAGGUUCAGAAACUGAUGUGCAAAUACCCAAUCCCCUUUUGUAUUAACCUCACUAAGGUCAGUAAGCAUUUUGCUUUAAACAGCAAUGCUCCAAAAUGGGGGAGUUGAAAGUCUGGUUUGCUUAUCUCUUUUAGAACUUGAGGAUCCCUAUUACCUUGUGAAAAAACAGAAUGUAAAUCCAUCUUAUCAGUAGCUAUUGCACCCUCUGAAGUAGUGUGGUUAGUGUUCAUUUAUAUUCUGUCCCCAUUUUCCACCAAAUUCAAACACAGUCUCCUAAAUUCACAUACGCAUGCUAGUUUCCAGUAUUUGCAAUAAUUUUCUUUUUCUUCUAAGGACUUAUUUUUUCUUCUGCACAGAAAACUUUGCAGAGCCACCUCAGUGAAUGUGGGGGACGAAGUGCUGAGGUCCUGCUCCCUGUGGGGUCAACCAUCACCAACAUCCUCUUUGGUGCCAAACAAAAGGAGGAAUCGCAGGAUGAGAAUUUUGGCAAGAUGGAGAGCAGAUCUCUGGAAGGGUGCAAAUGACACUGCAAGACUAGAAGAUCUGAGCCCUAUGAAGCUGAGCAAGUGUAACCGCAAUGCCUCACUGGGGCUGUUUGGCUCUGGCCUAAGAGUUGGAAGAGCUGUAUCUUUGUUUUGAAGAGAAAAAACAAGCUUUGGAAAUGAUGCUUUGUGCCCAUGCAGCAAGCUGUGCUGUGGGCUCCCCGCUCUGCAAAGCACUGCAGCCUCCUUCCCCUGGGCCAGGGCAUGAGGCAGAGGGAAAUGAUGCUGUGCCUACCGCUGUAGUAUCACCAGCUCAGACCUGAAGCUGUCCAUAUACCAUAAGGUACCGUCCCAACAGCAGAAAAUAAGCAGCUUCACUAGGUGUUUUGAAUCACUGCAACACCCAGUUUGCCCCAUAAAAUCAGGACUGCAGAGGUCGAAGUCAAAAUGCUUCUUUGAUGGGCUUAAGGAGACAGAUGAAACAACAAAACCUUUCCCUCUGUGCCCAGAAAACAUUUGGACGUUUGCAUGCAGUGAGAUGUGCAAUAGGCCAGGAAUAAAUUACGUGCAGAAUCUCUGCUCCUUUACUGAAAUAAUCUGCUAAACUGAUGUUUGUACGUAAUUCAAAGGAAAUCCUUUUGAAGACAUAUGGCCUUUUCAUUGUGCUCCAUUCUGGCUCAAGUUUCACUGUACUAACAAAAUAGAUAAACUGUUGAUGAACCUGAUUCCUUUGCUUUUUUCAAGGUUCCUCCGAGUAUUUCUAACCUUACAGAUUCAAGCUUGUCCAAGCACAGAGUUUUGUGUCUUGGUUUCUUCCCCUUGACAAAAAUGGAGGACUGAAGCAGAGAUGGGAUUGUACUGGAUGCACCACUGACAGGGCUGGAGUGCUGAUCAUACCAUAUUGCAGAAAUGCAAGACGUUCUUGGUUAAUCUGGGAAAGACUCACCGAAUCCAAGCAAAACAGCAAAUGAUUCUGCUGAAAGCAAGGGAAGAGUAAGCUAAGUGUGAGCAGCAAGGUCUGGUUUGGCUAAGUCUUUGACACACAACAAAGAUCUGUGCCCACACCUGGUGCCCUAGGCUGACUAAACUGGUGACAACCACUAAUACCUCUAAUCUGGCUUGUCUGCAUGCAAGUCAUGAGAUUCUUUCAGCCACUACAUUGUCAAGCCCAGUUUCUCAUUGAACAAGAGCAUCAAAUCUGAAGAUAAAGUGACAAAAAGACAAGUAAGCCAAUCUUCUAAUAAAGUGCUUGGAUGAAUUGCUACUUUAGGCAAGAACUGGUCAGCAUUAGCUUCUUUGGGACUUUGUUUUUGGGAGAAAAGCAAACAGAACAGCCCAACUCCUCCCCAACUCUAAUUUCCUCAUUGAAGAGCAUGAAGUUGGUUCUUAUUUAGCAAAUUAAAUAUAGGACCCAUUUCUUUCAGUAGUGCCUCAUUUAUUUGCCAUGUGCAAGCAUACUGAUAAUAUAUAUAUAGAAACUUUCUGCUCAAUUGCAAGUUACUGUGGAAGCUGAGGGAGGUAAAUACUCAGCCCCUUCAAGACUUUUGUUGUCUAAAAAUAGCAGUAGAGAAUAGUAAGGUGCGUAGAGUACUACUUUUCCCUAGAAUUCCUUCUUCUUUUACAUCUUUUGAAUGAUGUGGCUGUAAGGCUAAGAACAUAAUCUAUAGAAAAACUGGAACACAUGUAUAGGUAGUGAUGCCAACGUGAAAAAGCCACCUUCUUUUCCCUGCACUUGUUGCUGACACUGCUGUUUCUGAAUGGCACACCAGUAGGCAGGACUUUGCACGCCAUGGAUGUAAUGCUGCCUCUGAGACUCUGAAUGGAGCAGAAGUUCCUGAGGAUCAUUCUUCUCAUGGUAAGACGACACUGUCCUCCUAACUUAACAUGAGCCAACAGUGUGCGCUUGCAUCCUGAAAGGCCAACUGUAUCCUGGGCUGCAUCAAAAGAGGGGUGCCCAGCAGGGCAAGGGAAGUGAUGGUCCCCCUGUACCCUCAUGAGGUCCCAUCUGGAGUACUGUGUCCAGACCUGGGGCCCUUGGCACAAGAAAUACAUGGAGCUGCUGGAGCAGAUCCAGGGGAGGGUCACAAAGAUGAUCAGAGAGCCAAAGCACCUUUUCUAUGAAGAAGGGCUGAGGGAGUUGGACUUGUUCAGACUGGAGAAGAGAAGGCUCUGGGGAGACCUCAUUAUGGCUUUCCACUACUUGAAGGGAAUUUAUAGUCAGGAGGGAAAUUGACUUUUUCCACAGGCUGAUAGUGAUAGAACAAAGGUGAAUGGCUUUAAACUAAAAGAGGGGAGACUUAGAUUAGAUAAUAGAAAUAAAAUUUUGCUCAGAGGGUGGUGUGGUCCUGGCACAGGCUGCCUAGAGAAGCUGUAGAUACCCCAUCCCUGGAGUCAUUUAAGGCCAGAUUGAAUGGAGACCUGGGAAUUGUGAUAUAGUGGGUGGCAGUGGCCCAUGGCAGUGGGUUGGAACUAGAGGGUUUACAUGGACACUCCCAACUCCAAGCCAUUGUAUGUUUUUAUGAUUCUGAGUGCGUGGACAUGGCUGCAUGACCUUGGUGCACAGCAGCCCACUGCUGAGGGACAGACAGCUGAAGGAACCUUCUUUGGUGCACUGGGAGCAGGAGGAACAGCAGCCACACGUGGAUGCAGCAUCUGAUUUAUCCUGCAUUGCAGAUGGGAGACCUGAUUCCCACAGCAUGGUGGCACUGCGUCAGGACAGAGGAGUCCUGGCACUGAUUUCAGUCAGGAGGAGAGCAAAACGUGACAUGGUGGCAGGUGGGGCACAGAGUACGGCAGCAUCUCUGAAGACCAGUGGACUCCUCCUGCCCUAUUGCCCAUAGGACCGAGAGGUGCAGCACUCUGCCCUGCCUUCCUGUCUGUUUCCUGCAAGGCUGCUUCAGCUAGCAGAAAAAAUCAUCAUUUGAGUUGCCUCAGCUUACACAGCACAAGCUUGUUUUAAAAAAGCUGUGAUCAUGUCAGCAAGCACGGCCUGUCACGUUCCUACCAGCCUCCUUCCAAAACCAGAGCACAGCCCAUGCUGACUGCCCACAGAGGUGGCCAGAGGAGGUGUGGUCAGGGGGUCCAGCCUACCCAGCUCCCUCACAGCCUGAGCGGGCAGGUCUGGGGCUGCUAUGGGGACAUGGCCAAGGAACAGCCACCUCAGCCCAACACAAUGGGCCUGGCAGGGUUUGGAAGCAGAUCUGGAGGGAUGCUGGGGCUGCUGGGGGGCUGCUUUCAAACUGUGCCAACUGGCUUUUGAAGCUUUUCUCUCUUUGAGCAAGCUGAAGGCAGCCCAGGCAGAUUUGCUACUUUCUGCCCCUUGAGCUAGUACCAGGAAAGAGGGAAGAGGGAUGGGAUCAGGGAGCAUGUGUCCACAGCUUUCCUCCCUAUAUCCCCCCAUGAGGAGCAACUGAGGCUCCCACAAGGGUGAGGAGGAGGCCAAAGAGUGGUUGCUUCUCCUCAUCACUGGAUUUCUGGCAGGAAAGCUGUUGGGGGAUUCUCAACACAGCUUCUUCUCUCUGACUCCCUCCCCAUUGAGAGCGAGUGAUGAAUGGGGAGGACACAAACCCUCCUGCACAGUGCUGCAGUGUCCUGCCAGUGUUCUCCAUCCUGUGGGCAGGCUCCUGGGACAUCUCUCCCACCAGAGUGGCUGUUCCCCAGUCCUGAUCCAGCCAGCCCUGCCUUCAUGUCCUACUCAGCCUGAGCAACCCACAGACCUGCCCAACCUAGGGCUGAGAAGGGCACACCCAUGGUAAGAAUAAGGUUUAAUGAAGUCACAGCAAAACACCUCUCGGCUAACUCGCCCUGCCUAUGAAGAUACCCAUUUCCGCAG
ensembl:lncRNA